AUGGCCAAGAGCGCCUGGGACAUGGUUACAGUGCUGCGCAAGAAGGGCCCCAUGGUCACCCAGGCCAAGUCCAAGCAGGUCAUCUUGGCGGCUCAGAGACAAGGGGAAGAUGUGGAGACGUCCAAGAAGUGGGAUGCAGGCCAGAACAAGCAGCAUUCCCUCACCAAGAACACGGCCAAGCUGGACCGGGAGACAGAGGUGCUGCACCAUGACAGGGUGCCCGUGGAGGUGGGCAAGGUGAUCCAGCAGGGUCGGCAGAGCCAGGGCCUCACGCAGAACGACCUGGCCAUGAAAAUCAAUGAGAAGCCGCAGGUGAUUGCAGACUACGAGAGCAGACUGGUCAUUCCCAACAACUAGGUUCUGGGCAAGAUCGAGAGAGCCAUUGGCCUCCACCUCUGGGGAAAGGACAUCGGAAAGCCCAUCGAGAAGGGACCCAGGGCAAAAUGAACACAAAGCCUCGAAAUCAGUGCGUUCCAGCUGAUCUCGUCUGGCGGGUCCCCUUGA